rnacentral:lncRNA from 1 species
AAAAACGGCUUCACAUGGGAAUUUCAUUUACAAUACCCGGUUUCAAACUAAAAAAUGCAAUUGAACUUAGAAUAGUCAAGUAACCAAUAACAGUAUUCUAACCAAAAUUAGGAGUUGAAAUUAACCCAUGUAGGUGUCAUUUUUUUAUCUAUUUCACUCUUUCUGGUACUUUCCUGAAAUAAAACACCACAAAUAUUUUGCUGGACAUUAGAUUCAUAGCAGAGAAAUUGAAGCAAACCUAUAAAAUCACAUAAGGACUUAACAAUUCAAUCACUCAAUACAGAUGUAAUACAAGGAAGAUUCAAAACGUACCUAAAUCGAAUAAAAGACGGCACUAGAGUGAGCUAAAUGAAGGCAGGAAAAAACAACUAUAAAAUAGAAACCCAACUACAAGCCUUCAACAAAAUAACAUCAGCAAACCAUGACCAUGUCAGUCCCAGCCGAUUUAUGAAAGUUCCAGAAAAUUGAUGCAAACAGCGAAAAUUUGAGAAAGAUUUUGAAAUUCCUUCUUUUUGGGUUCUUUUUUUUUUGUGUGUGUUGGUUUUUGGGGCUUUUAAUCCAUUAUAACUAAAAUUUGAAAUUUUCCUUUUCUAGUAAAGGCUUCGGGCUGCACGUUAGAGUGAGGGAGUGUGUAUUCUCAGAUAGCAGAUGUUUAUAUAUGCGUGUGUGAAAAAGAAAUAAGUGAGGGCGAGAGAUCAGUGAGAGGAGUGAGAGGUGAGUGAGAUGAGCUCCGAUUUCUUGAGGCAGUUAGGUUCUUUUUGUUUUUGUUUUUGAGAGGGAGGUCUAAUCAUCU